UAGAAACCGCUUCACAUAAUACUAUUAGGGGCAAAAGAGGCGCGUACCCAGCACCUUCUCCCUCGUCCCCCGACGCUGUAGCUUCAAGAAAAUUGCGCGUUUUUCAAAUCCCUCUCCAACUGAGAAUCUCACUUUUGUCCUUCAUCACUCAUCACACAAGUUUUCCAUCCACCUUAUAAAUACCCUAAUCAAUGGAAGGCAUGGAGAAUGAAGGUUAGGGUUGUAAGGAUUCCUCAUCUCAAUUCUUGGUAAAGUUCCAUCUUCUCCAUGCUUAUUUUUUCUACCCAUAACUUUUAUGCAUGAUAAACAUUUUUCCCUUCUCAUUUCACGCACUUGAAAUAUUUGUUCUUUUUGCAAAUUUAUAUGCCAGAUUGUUAAAAUUUGUGAGUUGUUAUCCCAGUAUCAAUUUUAGUUAAACUACUUGAUUUAUCAAUUUUAGUUAAACUACUUGAUUUUGGGUGUGGGUAGUAGUGGGGAUAGAAAUAGAAUUAGUAAUUGAGAUAAAAUGCAUUGCAGGUGUUUGAUAAAAUGCCCAUGUGGAAAAUUGUGGUAGCUACAAUAGAACUAUAAGUCAUGGACUUAAUUUUGAAUGUCUUUAUCUGUGGCCUUUAUAAUAUGCAUCAUUUUAACAAUAUUAGACAGGUUUUUUCAGAUAUAAUCUUCUAACUAUACAUACAGUUUUCUUUGUGUGCAUAAAAAAUCUCUGGCAAAUACUAUAUUCUAAAGGUUUGUACACAAUUUCAUAUCAGUUUUGCCAUAGGUGGGUCAUUAUUUUCCACAAUUCUGUUAGCUAAAUUAAAUUUGAAGUAUUGAUUCAAUUAUGAGUUAUUUGGAAUGGUUGAUACAUUGAUAGAUGAUUAUAUAAGUUUGAUUCACUAGGCGACGAGAUUCAAUGGACAACUUUAGAAGACAAUUGUGAGUUGUGGAAGAUCCCAUGAUUGUUCCAGCUAUUGCAACAGGAAAUAAUGGCAGAAAGUUUGGUAUGAGAGAUGAAAAUUGCUUGACUACAUAUAUGUAUGUAAGGAGCUAAAAGUAAUGGAAAGAAGAAAAAUUAUAGCUUUCGGGGAUUUUGGUCAUCGAGCAUUUCACAAAGGAGUUUGGAGCUUUUGUCAUUCUCGUAGUUAAUGCCUUAGACUCAAUGAAAUGUGUGGCUGCUGUAAAAAGGAAAGGAGAAGUGCAAGAAGAGGAUAUUUGCAUGAAGUUUCUUACUUCCUUUUCAUUGAUGAAGAAAGAGGUGAGUGAAGAUCCAUUCAUCUUGCUUCUUGCAAAGGUAGUAGAAGUUUUAUGUAUUUUGAUUGUCUUAAUUUAAUUUUUUUCCCGGUUGAUUUGGAAGAAGCUGAAUACAUAGUGUUCAAGUACAUAUGGUGAAUAGAGGAGGAAUAGAGAAAUACAACUUAUGAUAUGAGGUUGGGACUUGGAAAUUUGUAAGAAUGUGACAAAUUAACUAUAUCUUUAUGAAUUGUUGAUGUCAAACAUGAAUACAAGAUUGAUCAAGUAGUUGGUACUUAGAGAAAAUUUGUCUCAAUGAUGAAAUUGGUAAUGUCCAUGUUAAGAAAGAUUGUGAAGGCUGUGAAAAUUGACAAUGAUGAAUAUGAGUUUAAGAUUGUGAAGGUUGUGUCAA